UACGUAGGGUGCGAGCGUUGUCCGGAAUUAUUGGGCGUAAAGGGCUCGUAGGCGGUUUGUCGCGUCGGGAGUGAAAACCCAGGGCUUAACCCUGGGCUGGCUUCCGAUACGGGCAGACUAGAGGUAUGCAGGGGAGAACGGAAUUCCUGGCGUAGCGGUGAAAUGCGUAGAUAUCUGGAGGAACACCGGUGGCGAAGGCGGCAUCCUGGACCGACACUGACACUGAGGAGCGAAAGCCGGGGGAGCAAACGGG
rnacentral:rRNA from 1 species